rnacentral:rRNA from 1 species
AUGCAAGUCGAGCGAACAGAGAAGGAGCUUGCUCCUUUGACGUUAGCGGCGGACGGGUGAGUAACACGUGGGCAACCUACCUUAUAGUUUGGGAUAACUCCGGGAAACCGGGGCUAAUACCGAAUAAUCUGUUUCACCUCAUGGUGAAAUAUUGAAAGACGGUUUCGGCUGUCGCUAUAGGAUGGGCCCGCGGCGCAUUAGCUAGUUGGUGAGGUAACGGCUCACCAAGGCGACGAUGCGUAGCCGACCUGAGAGGGUGAUCGGCCACACUGGGANUGAGACACGGCCCAGACUCCUACGGGAGGCAGCAGUAGGGAAUCUUCCACAAUGGGCGAAAGCCUGAUGGAGCAACGCCGCGUGAGUGAAGAAGGAUUUCGGUUCGUAAAACUCUGUUGUAAGGGAAGAACAAGUACAGUAGUAACUGGCUGUACCUUGACGGUACCUUAUUAGAAAGCCACGGCUAACUACGUGCCAGCAGCCGCGGUAAUACGUAGGUGGCAAGCGUUGUCCGGAAUUAUUGGGCGUAAAGCGCGCGCAGGUGGUUUCUUAAGUCUGAUGUGAAAGCCCACGGCUCAACCGUGGAGGGUCAUUGGAAACUGGGAGACUUGAGUGCAGAAGAGGAUAGUGGAAUUCCAAGUGUAGCGGUGAAAUGCGUAGAGAUUUGGAGGAACACCAGUGGCGAAGGCGACUAUCUGGUCUGUAACUGACACUGAGGCGCGAAAGCGUGGGGAGCAAACAGGAUUAGAUACCCUGGUAGUCCACGCCGUAAACGAUGAGUGCUAAGUGUUAGGGGGUUUCCGCCCCUUAGUGCUGCAGCUAACGCAUUAAGCACUCCGCCUGGGGAGUACGGUCGCAAGACUGAAACUCAAAGGAAUUGACGGGGGCCCGCACAAGCGGUGGAGCAUGUGGUUUAAUUCGAAGCAACGCGAAGAACCUUACCAGGUCUUGACAUCCCGUUGACCACUGUAGAGAUAUGGUUUCCCCUUCGGGGGCAACGGUGACAGGUGGUGCAUGGUUGUCGUCAGCUCGUGUCGUGAGAUGUUGGGUUAAGUCCCGCAACGAGCGCAACCCUUGAUCUUAGUUGCCAUCAUUUAGUUGGGCACUCUAAGGUGACUGCCGGUGACAAACCGGAGGAAGGUGGGGAUGACGUCAAAUCAUCAUGCCCCUUAUGACCUGGGCUACACACGUGCUACAAUGGACGAUACAAACGGUUGCCAACUCGCGAGAGGGAGCUAAUCCGAUAAAGUCGUUCUCAGUUCGGAUUGUAGGCUGCAACUCGCCUACAUGAAGCCGGAAUCGCUAGUAAUCGCGGAUCAGCAUGCCGCGGU